ensembl:lncRNA
GCACAGCCCCAGAGGUGCACUACAACUGGCCAGUCCUUUAAAUUUUCUUUUUAACUCAGUAAAUUAACUUAAAGAAAUUGAAGGAUCUCUAAUUCAGUUAACCUACUGUAGCAUUGUGCUUUUAAACAAAACAAUACUCAUGCUACUGAAUCUAGGCCAAGCAGGAAGGAUUGUCCAUUCAUAGAGCUGUGUGCCAGCUGGCUUUAUGACCACUGGGUCACCUUCUGUUUUUAGCUGCUAAGACUCCCACUCUUUGGUCCUACCGUGAUUGUAAUUGAUCCAUCUCUUCUUCCUUAUCUUCUUUUCUCAUUUAUCAUACGUUUUCUGUUUUACAGACAUGAAACGUUCAUCAAUUCACUGGAUAUCUUGUGGAAAGCCACUUUCAGAACCAAUCGGGUGGCAGGUCAAAUUUUGCUUGGUUGCAGAAUGUCAACUUGUUCUCCUGGACAAGAGAGAGUUCAGUCCAAUGCUGUUCCGAGAGCGCCGUGCUGAAUCAUGCACAGUGUGGCUCCUGCGACGCAGCACCAGCAUUCCUGAGGGAGUUCAGCUCCGUAAAAACCAGAGCACCCAAACCAGAAAUGCCAGUGAGUAGGAUCUGGAGCACAUACUUGUUUGCACCUGUUGCAGUUCUUUUUUUUUUUCUUUGGAAAGUGAAGAAACACUUUGAUGAGUAAUACACUCUGAUAAUAGUCUUUAAAGGUAAUCAAAUUUCAUUGGCAAAGUGGAAGACGAAAACAAUCGCUUAUCCUGAAUUUUAUUAUACUGUUUUAAAUGAGUUGUUUUGACAUUUGCUGUGCUAAAGAUAGGAACAACAAAGAUUUAGCCACUCGUUAUGUUGGAUUUUGCAUCAUUUGAACUUCAAAAUGCCAUUUGCAUUCACUGCGUUAAAGUGCGGAUGUGACACCAAUAGACAGACAUGUGAAAUAGAGCAUGAUGAAACGCACUGUAGACUUCCAUUUGUCUCGGACAGGCAGCAAACCAGUAAUUUGCAGUAGGAGGCAUAAUUAUGAUGGCGUUACAGGACAGCUAUUGUUUAGAAUUGCCUAAUAAGGACUCUGGUUCACAAUGCAGUCGAAUUUGUGGAUGAGACACAUUAUGCGGCCACGUGUUUUGUGAAAAUGUCAAAGAGAAUCAUGCAUUAAAUAGGCCAGUACUAUCUGUUUGUCUGUCUCUAUCUAUCUAUCUAUCUAUCUAUCUAUCUAUCUAUCUAUCUAUCUAUCUAUCUAUCUAUCUAUCUAUCUAUCUAUCUAUCUAUCUAUCUAUCUAUCUCUCUGUCUGUCUGUCUGUCUGUCUGUCUGUCUAUCUAUCUAUCUAUCUAUCUAUCUAUCUAUCUAUCUAUCUAUCUAUCUAUCUAUCUAUAGUUAGUAUUAAAAAUCAAGGUUUAAAAAAGAAAAGAAAAAGAAAGUGUAAAAAUUUUGUUACAUUUCCACAUUAAGUAUAGUUCAAUGGUGUGGGUUUGGUAAAUUAUUUAAAAUGUUUUUGAAAGAAGUCUCAAGGUGG